rnacentral:rRNA from 1 species
GUAGACGCUGAAGUCUGGUGCUUGCACUAGACGGAUGAGUUGCGAACGGGUGAGUAACGCGUAGGUAACCUGCCUCAUAGCGGGGGAUAACUAUUGGAAACGAUAGCUAAUACCGCAUAACAGUAUUUACCGCAUGGUAGAUGCUUGAAAGGAGCAACUGCUUCACUAUGAGAUGGACCUGCGUUGUAUUAGCUAGUUGGUGAGGUAACGGCUCACCAAGGCAUCGAUACAUAGCCGACCUGAGAGGGUGAUCGGCCACACUGGGACUGAGACACGGCCCAGACUCCUACGGGAGGCAGCAGUAGGGAAUCUUCGGCAAUGGGGGCAACCCUGACCGAGCAACGCCGCGUGAGUGAAGAAGGUUUUCGGAUCGUAAAGCUCUGUUGUAAGAGAAGAACUGUGAGAAGAGUGGAAAGUUUCUCAUUUGACGGUAUCUUACCAGAAAGGGACGGCUAACUACGUGCCAGCAGCCGCGGUAAUACGUAGGUCCCGAGCGUUGUCCGGGUUUAUUGGGCGUAAAGCGAG